UACGGGGGGAGCAAGCGUUGUUCGGAUUUACUGGGCGUAAAGGGCGCGUAGGCGGUCAGCACAAGUCGGUUGUGAAAUCUCCGAGCUUAACUCGGAAAGGUCGACUGAUACUGUGCGACUAGAGUGCGGAAGGGGCAACUGGAAUUCUUGGUGUAGCGGUGAAAUGCGUAGAUAUCAAGAGGAACACCUGCGGCGAAGGCGGGUUGCUGGGCCGACACUGACGCUGAGGCGCGAAAGCCAGGGGAGCGAACGGG
rnacentral:rRNA from 1 species